GCCUAGUUAGCUUAGUUGGUAGAGCGUCUGCCUUGUAAGCGCUAGGCCGCGGGUUCGAUUCUCGCCCGGGGCG
rnacentral:tRNA from 1 species